GACGAACGCUGGCGGCGUGCCUAAUACAUGCAAGUCGAGCGGGCCUCCGGAGGUGCUUGCACCUCCGGAAGGCCAGCGGCGGACGGGUGAGUAACACGUGGGCAACCUGCCUUUGAGGCCGGGAUAACACCGGGAAACCGGUGCUAAUACCGGAUACGUCCUCUUUCGCGCCUGCGAGAGGGGAGAAAGACGGUCUUUAAGGCCGUCGCUCAAAGAGGGGCCCGCGGCGCAUUAGCUGGUUGGUGGGGUAAGGGCCUACCAAGGCGACGAUGCGUGGCCGACCUGAGAGGGUGAGCGGCCACACUGGGACUGAGACACGGCCCAGACUCCUGCGGGAGGCAGCAGUAGGGAAUCAUCCGCAAUGGGCGAAAGCCUGACGGUGCAACGCCGCGUGAGUGAGGAAGGUUUUCGGAUCGUAAAGCUCUGUUGUGAGGGAAGAACAGCUUCCGGAGGAAAUGCCGGAGGUUUGCCGGUACCUCACCAGAAAGCCCCGGCUAACUACGUGCCAGCCGCCGCGGUAAGAC
rnacentral:rRNA from 1 species